rnacentral:rRNA from 1 species
AUCAAAGCCAGUCGUAGCAAUACGUUUUCAGGUGAAUCAUGAUAACUAUUCGAAUCGCAUGGCUUUGCCGGCGAUGGUUCAUUCAAAUUUCUGCCCUAUCAACUUUCGAUGGUAGUAUAGAGGACUACCAUGGUUAUAACGGGUAACGGAGAAUUAGGGUUCGAUUCCGGAGAGGGAGCCUGAGAAACGGCUACCACAUCCAAGGAAGGCAGCAGGCGCGCAAAUUACCCAAUCCCGAUUCGGGGAGGUAGUGACAAUAAAUAACAAUACAGAGCUUUAGAGUUUUGUAAUUGUAAUGAGAACAAUUUAAACCUCUUAUCGAGAGCCAAUUGGAGGGCAAGUCUGGUGCCAGCAGCCGCGGUAAUUCCAGCUCCAAUAGCGUAUAUUAAAGUUGUUGCAGUUAAAAAGCUCGUAGUUGAACUUUUGGCUUGGCUGGGCGGUCUCUCAUUGAGAGUACUUUCUGGCCUCGUCUUUCCUUCUGGAGAAGUAUGAUGCUAUUCAUUUAGUGCUGU